rnacentral:rRNA from 1 species
UACGUAGGGUGCAAGCGUUAUCCGGAAUUAUUGGGCGUAAAGAGCUCGUAGGCGGUUUGUCGCGUCUGCUGUGAAAACUGGAGGCUCAACCUCCAGCCUGCAGUGGGUACGGGCAAACUAGAGUGCGGUAGGGGAGAUUGGAAUUCCUGGUGUAGCGGUGGAAUGCGCAGAUAUCAGGAGGAACACCGAUGGCGAAGGCAGAUCUCUGGGCCGUAACUGACGCUGAGGAGCGAAGCAUGGGGAGCGAACAGG